rnacentral:lncRNA from 1 species
AAAGAGGCUUGAACAUAAGAGCCCUUGCCAUUCAAGCAUAAAAAUGAGUUUAAAAUGAUAUGUUCAAGAAUGAAUAUAAAGUAAUAGAAUAAAACCCUAAAUAAUAAGAUCUUUUGCUAUGUUACAAAAACUUUUAAGUUUAAAUGUGUUAUAUUUCAGUUAUGCAAGUAAAUGUUGAAUAUAAUGUAACACAACAUAAAUAAUAUGACCUUUUGCAUAGUAGCAAUAAGGCCACUUUAAACACUUUAGUAUGUUUUUUAAUAAAGUAUGUACCGUGAGUUUAUUCUAAUUAAAUUUAAGCAUUUAUUUUGUGAUUAUUGAUUAUUUUGUACGUACGUCAUAUAACAAACAUGUUGGAAAUUAAAGAGAUAAAAUGAAAACAAGUGAACACGAUCAUAAUUUUGGAUCUUAUUAAUUUGUUAAUUAAAGGAAAUGAAUGAACAAAGAGUAAUAUGAGAAGACAAAAUUAACACUUUUUGUAAAUGAUGUUGCAAGAGUCGCUUUUAUGUUGUGAUGGAUUAGUUUUACCACCUAUUGAUUUUCAAUUAAAUAGUGACAAGUACUAUUUUAGGGUUCUCCUUAACCGAGCACAAUAUGUAAUAUGUCGAUGUAAACCACCACUUCUUGAUAGUAAGAGUAGCGAGGUCCGAUUUAACCACACAAGAAGCUUCGUGUUUAACAUUACUCUAAGGUAAAUUUUCUAAGGAACAAAGUAUAUAGUGGAGAAGUGGUUGAUAGGUAAAGUAAAUGACAUAAAUAAAGUGUGGGAAUGUAAGAUAAUAGUGAGAAAUAAAAGGGUUACCUGUAGAUUACCUUUCGAUUGAAAGAUUGUUGGGAUAGAUCGUACAGAUUGGUUCAUCGAUUUUUUAUAUAUAAGAAAUCGGACUAAGUCUAGAUACUUACUUGGACGACAAAUUAAGAUUCAUAUAACAUGUCACAAACUCCCUUGGAACGGGCCUUCUACGUAACGAGUGAGGAUAUGACUUGUGCGAACCAACGUUUCGAGAUGAAACGUCAGAUCGCCAAGGUCCUUUAAACUUAACUUAAACCUUCGGCGUAACCAUGCUGGUGAAAACUUCUGCUAUGCAGUAGGACUAUGAACGAUUUAAAAAUUAGUGAUCCUUUUAUUAAAAAUCCUAUUACAACACAAGCGUACAACUUAUAACUUAAGGGAUUGCAAAACUUAAGCUAACUACUACUACUAACACACGACACUUCUAGUACUUAGCAGCGGCCUCAUCUCGCCUCACCUGAUGACACUUCAAUGUUUAACCUAGGGACAGGAACAUAAAACAUAAGCUAAUAGCUUAGCGAGUAACAAAGAUUAGUUAGAAAUACAAUUUGGGAAAUACAAUUGCAUACAAUAAAAGCUUUCUUAUUUCCAUGGUUAAGUUUCAGACAUGAGUUUUGAGUUUAGAUUUCUUAAUGAGAUUUAUAUUAUCAUGUGAAUAAUGAGUUUCUAGAAAAUAAUUGAAACGACAGUGUUUCAAGCAAAGCACGUUUUAGAAAUUAUUGAUUAAAGAAUUUAUGUUGAUUUUACGACUGAGGCACUGAAUCAAAGGCUGUAUGGUAUUGUGUGAACAUGUGUUUAUAUUCCAUUGUCGUCAUUGAGUAUACCUCUACGACAACGAUGUUGUUGGGGGUGAUGGACUAGGCCCCACCACGACAAAGAUGAUGUGAUGGGCGAUGCUCCUACAUCAUAAAUUUUAUGUUAAGAAUGAAUGUUAUUUUUUUUCCAGCAAGACGAUCCUUAUCUGUAUCGAGUGAUCACUACCACAUCGGGGUGAGUUAGAAACCACAACUUAUCGAGAAUAUCAUUGUCUGUAUUCGAGUAACUAUACCACAAAGUGGUUAGAUGAGUUGUCAAUUAGAUAGCCAACAACAAAACUGAGACAUGCGUAGUGAAUUCACGGAUUAAAUUUUACUCUAAAUGCAACUAAACAAUUUAAAGAUUAAGAUGCUUAUAAACUACCCUAAUUAAAUGAAAUAAGGGUUAAAGAAAGAACAUAGCUUUGAAGUUUUCCAGUUCUCGUAAUCUCCUCAUGAACAUGAAAACGAGACCAUCAUUAGAAUUUAUUCGCUAUUCUCCAGACUUAGAAUCUAGUUGUGGGACCCAAUUGGUGAAAAAAAUUGAGAGAGACGAAAAAGGGAGAUAAAAUUAGGUUUGAGAUUUGGAAGAGAGUGACUCUGGUAAAGUUUUGUAAAAAUACAAAAGUAACAAAAGUUUCAAAAUUCUUGAAAAAAUUGAAAAUAGGUCUUUAAAUAACCUAAUUACAUGCAAAAUUUUAUGUAAUUAGUUGGUCAAAUCUCAACACCUAACAUUUCACUAAACACUAGUGAAACUUAGUGGGCUAAGUGUUUACAUCUCAUGUACCAACCAAAAAAUUAGUGAGAUUAUGCAAAGAAAUGUUGGAUUUUUCCACUAACUUUAGUCCAAGGACAAUAUGAUCAUUUAACCAUUUAAAUCAAAGUCAAACUUUGACUUCUUCAAGUCAAAAAUCAACAUUUUGACCUUUUACCAUUUUGUCUGUCUCGUCUAAUUUCGACCUCCCUAGCAUGAAUUUGCAUUCAUUUUUCUAAAAUUCAAAUCUCAUUUAAAUUUAAAGUUGGUCAAAGUUUGAUUUUUCAGAGUUAAAAGUCAACCUUUUGAACUUUUACAACUUUGACCAUUUCAAUUAAUUAUGAGCUUUCGAAUAUGAAUUCACAUCCAUAUUCUAUUAUAUUGACGGUAAUAUUCCUAACAUUGCAACUACUGUUUACAACUUCUUCCUAAUAUUUCCACUGUGAGAGAUGAUGCUAGGAAGGGCGUGUGACAAAAUCUCACGAAAAUACAUCUUCCAAAUAUUAAAAAAUUACCCAAACUAGCAAUGUAGUACAAUGAAAGUAAGGAUCGUGUCCACGGAAAACUUUUGAUCAGUGAAGAAAUCCUAAAAAAUCUCAUUGAACCAAAUAGUGAUUUCAAAAAUUGAGAAAAGAAGAAGGAAUAUGAUGGGGGUUUUAACAUUCAAGAAAGUAAAAAAAAAAAAAAGGGACCUAUAGUGAGAACAUCCAUUUCAAGAAUUGAUAUCAACAAAGUCAAAAGGGUUUUCUUUGAUAUCAAUCAACGGGGUUUUCUUCAAGAAAUAAAAGACUCAUUUGAUUUGAUAUGUUAUUCUUACCAUAGGGUUAAAGAAACAGGUUACAAGAACCGUGGUUCUUGUUCAAUUAAUUCAAGAUCUCAAAUGGAAAUUAUAAUUCAUUUAGCAAUUAAUUGCAAGAAUCAAUCCUUGAAAAGACAAAUGCAAGAAAUUGGUAGCCCUAAUUCCUCAAGAAUGUGAUCUGCACACUAACUUAAACUUGAACUCGAAAGAUUAAAAUGCCCAAAUUUCAAUCUAAAGAAAAUUUUAUUUCAAGAAACUAAGUUAUUAUAAAAUCACAAUCACAAUUCAAACAACAAAAUUUAUAAAAGAAACCCUCAAAUAAUAAAAAAAAAUUAACCCAAUACCUUCUUUUUUACCUUAGCCUACAAGAAUCAUUGCAAUUUUUGCAGAGUUUUGGUAAAGAAAAGAUGUCGUGGGUCUCCGUCGUAGUGGAUUUCCUCGUCGUAUGUCGUCAUCGCCAUGUGUCUCCUCGUUGUAGGUCUUCGUCGCUGAGAAGAAAGAUCAUGGAGAGAAGAAUGGGGUUGGCGUUCGGGUUUUUUGGGUUCUGUCGUGAAGAAAAUAUUGAAGAAAGGGGAAAAUAAAAAAAAAAAUUAUAUUUUCAUAAUUUUUAAUGAAAAGUUGGAGGGAACUAAGGAGAAAAUAAUAUUUUAAUAAUAUUUAAUGAAAAUUAUAUUUUAUUAUUUAUAUUCAAUGACAUUUUAAAAACGGUCAUAAAUUCUUCAAAUUCUUCAAAUUUCCUCUUUUUCCGCCAAAACGCGAAUUUUGACUUUUUGUGAUAGCUUUUUCUUCCCUCCUUUCAAUUUGGGAUAUCCACAACUAUCAUAGUAGAUAAUUUUUGUUGUAAUGCAAAGACAUGGUUUUGUCACUCACCUUCAUUAGGCCUGUUCUCCUUCGUUUGAGCUUUGUUUUGGGUGAUUUUUGUUGCAUUGUUAUUGUAUUGAAGUCUAGAUUAUUAUUCUGUAUAUAAAUACAAAAUAGUGAAUAUAUGCAUGCAUAGGAGUAAAGUUAUGUAUAAAUUGUAUGGUCUAUUUGUUGGUUUUUAUGUCCUAAAACUCGUAGAUAAUAAAGUAUAAUUCAUUGACCAUUAUCAAUAAAGUGUUAUUAUUGUAAUAAAUGUGAUUGAUUAUAUUGUUAGUUUUGUCUUAAUAACCUAAAUUCAAUAAUCUAACAUUCUAUGCGGUUUGAUGAGUCUUGAACAGUAUGUAGAGACAUACAAAGAUCAAUGUUCGAAAUAAGCUUAAAGGGUCUAUAAUAUAGGGAUAAGGUUGGAUACCUUAUCUUGGUAACACUACAUGGAUAUGGUCUACUUUGUAUUUGAUACAAACGCAAUGAUCCAAUGCGUUUCUGUAGGUGACAUACGAGUGAGGGUACCAUAUGCAAUGAGUUUGCAUAAGAUCGGACCACAAAAUAGUAACAACUAGAUGUAACUCUAUUAACUAGCACUAGGAGAAAUCGAGGUUUUCCGAUGGAAAAAAAAAUCAUCGAGAAACGAAACAAAGCUAGAAGGAGGUUUUUUCCAAUGCACCAACUUCUACGUCGGGAGCGGUGCCUUUUCCCGACGCAUGUUAACGCACGUCGCGACUGCCUGGAAUAAUUAAUUAUACCGUAGAUUUUCUCCGAUGUGACAUCAGAAACGUCAAGAAAAAGGAUACAUAUUCCUGACGCAUAAGUAAGGGCGUUGGGAAUAUGUAGGCUAUCUCAACGUCUAUAGUGUUGCAUCGUGUAAGGGACAAAACAUUAAUUGUACCGUUGGCCUUCCUCCGAUGUGACGUCAGAGAUGUUGAAAAAAAGGGUACCUAUUCCCAAUUCCAUUAGUGAUGCGUCGGAGAUAGGUUGACUAUCUCGACAUUUUUAGGCAGCGUCGAGAGUUUCCCUUUUAAUAAAUCAUUCUUUUUUACAGAAUCGAAAGAGAAAAGAGAAAGAAAACGAGAGAGAGGGAGACUGAGAAGAAGAAGAGGAGAUUUCUCACGUCACCCUUGGUCCCCACCGUUCGCUGUUGUUUCGUCGUAGUCUUCUGCCACUCGCCGUUGCAUAUUGGUAAGUAGAUUUGUUUUAUUUAGAUUAGAAAUUAUGUUUUGAAUUAGAAAUUUAGUUUUUGAAUUAGUUUUGUUUUAGGAAUAAGAUUUUGAAUUAUGUUUUGCAUUAGAAAUUAUGUUAUAGGAGGGGUUGUAGAAUUGUUGAAUUGAAAAUUAAAGGGGGUUUAAGAUUGGAUUAUGAAUUUUUAAGGAGGGGGUGUCAAAUUAAAAAUUAAAGAGGGUGUGAAUAAAAAAUUAAUGGGAGAGGAGUGAAUUGAAAGUUAAAGAAGGGGGUUGAAUUCAAAUUCUUAGGUGGGGAAGGGUUUAAUAGAAAAUUGGGGGUUGUAGCAUUUAGUUCAAAUUUUAUUGUUUAUUUUUUAACUUUCGUUUAUUAGAACUACUAGGAAUUUACGGUUCAUUUAUUAUGGCUAUCCUGCAAUUAAUUAUGCUAGUAUCUUCUCUUUAGUUCAAACUUGGUUUAAAAUUAAUUAGAUAUAGUAGGGUGUUUGAUUAGUUUGUUCGGGCUAUCCUGUAGUUAUGGUAGUCUUUAUAGUUUGAACUUACCUUCAGUUAAAAGAUUAGGAAAAUUUGGGAUAGUUUAUUCAUAGAGUAAUUAAGUUUAGGAUUUGAGAGGAGGAAUAGAGGAUUAAUGAUCAAAGAUAAUUAUGUAUUAAGUCUUUAACGAUUGACAAGGGUGGAUGCAAGUUAGGAAUAAGUUGUUAGUUGAAUAUAGAGAGGAUUCUACAAAUUGCAAUGCUAUGCGUUAUUCCACUUAAUUUUGAGUAUGCUAGCAUUAUCAAAAUCUACCAACGAUCCCUUUAUAAACUUUGAUGAGAAUCUAUAUUAUAUUUUAUUUUAUUCGGAAUAUAUUUGGAGUAAGGUUAUGAAUGAAAUAUGUGGAAACUAAAAAGAAAUUAGUAUUGAAUAUGAACCAUGUAUGGAUUAUCAAAACUCUAUCGGUUUGAAUUUUAUAUUCUUCUUGAAGCAUAAUCGACACUAUUACAAAAACUAUAUUAGUUGAUAUUUUUCUACAUUAACUAUCAAUUUACUUAACCAUUAUAAAUAUGUCAAGUAAGUUCGUGUCAAUCUGUAAUUUACCCGAUACGUUAAAAAUGCAAGCAUAUGAAGUGAUCUGUUGACUCAUUUAAAGUGUAAAUGUCAAAAUUCUAGAUAUUUAAUUAUGGAUCAACGAUUUUAUAACAUGACAAUUUUUACUCGUCAAUGUUAACUUCAUCUUAGUGCAUACAAAAAUUACUUACUUCAUUAAUAUUGAUACAUUUUAAUUGUCAAUUAGUUCAAUUAGUUCAUAUGUGGUUUUUUUUUUUAAAAAAAAUCCUAUUAUUACAAAUUAUCUAGAAUUGGGAUCGUUAUAUGCGGUCCAAAAAUGUUAUAACUUAAUAGGAAAAGAUAAUGAUUUAUUAACGAGACAAACAAACAAUAUAUAUAUAUAUGGACAAUUUAAGCUAUCGAGCACCUUAUCUCCAUGACAUGAGUUUCAAAAAGAAAAUAAACUUCAAAUCAAUAAAGUCUUUGAUAAUCUAUGGAUAUGGAUGGUUGAUACUCAAUAGUAACUUUGUUCUAAUUUCCACCGAUUUUAUCUCUAACCUAUACUCCAAAUAUAUUUUUAAUAAAUUAAAAGAGAAUAGAUUCUCAUGAAUGUUUAAUGCUUUCAUGUUUUGAUUUUGAAAAUUAAAUAAUAUAAAGAGAGAGGGAAAGAGACCAAUGGAAAGAACAAGUUAUUGACUUUUUGAAAAUAAUAUUUAUUGGAGUCAUAUAGAAAUUAAACGAUGUUAUAUGCAUAAAUUUUAUAUAAUUACAUUACUUAAGAAUUAAUAGAUGUAUAAAAAGGAUAUUUUAACAAAUAAUAUUAUAUCCGUAUAUGAAUAAUUUAACUAGUUAGAGGGAACAUAAGAACAAUUUGAGUUGAAUAAUCAAUUAUCAUGAAGAAAAUCUAAAAGUUAACUAAUUUAUAUUAAAAAAUAAUUUAAAGUAACUAAAUGAAAAAGAGUAUACAAAAGUGAAAGAUGUUGAAAAAAUGGAAUAAACAAAAGAGAGAAAGGACAAGGGAUUUUUCACUUCUUUGUAAGCCUCCGGUAGGGUAUUUAGGAGAACAAAUGCCUCAUUAUCAUCAUUGAUUUUGUCUUCAAGAUUUUUAAAGUCUGAAACUAUUUUCUUGAACUCAACUAUGUUGUUUCUUAAACUUUUGGAAGGAUCCAUUUUGUAUGUGAAUAAUUUUUCCAUUGGAUACAUUUUGUUUGGGAGAUCUUUAGUGGCAUAAACGUUUUCUAAUUUCUUCCAAAUUUUAUGUGUUGUAUCUUCUUCUAAAACUUUCCUUACUACAUUGUCAUUAAGGUUUAGUAUUAGUGUUCCAUAGACAUUUAACUACAUUUCUUCCUUUUGUAUUGCUGUGAGGGUUGUUGGAAGUUUUGAAGGAUCUAAAAGGGCUUUAUGAGUCUUUUGUUGUUCGGGCAAGACUUUAACCUUUCCCUUCCAUAAGGCAAAGUCUCCAUUUCCAUCGAACUUCUAAAUUUCUACUCUUGCCACUGCCAUUAUUAAGAUUUGUUAUGCUUUAACUCUUCCAAGAUUCAGUUUCUUGAAAUCAAGAUUGGCUCUGAUACGAAUUAAUCUUGAUACGUUUAUGGGCCUUAUUUUCAAGUCCGCUUUAAGAUACUUGGAGGCAAUGGCGGAUCCAGAAAAUUUAUUGACGGGGGGCUUCGAGUUGUAACUUAGAGGAAAAAUAAAAAUCUGGAAAAAAAACUACAUAAGUAAGACUUGGACUCUGGUUGAAAGGGAGACUAACAAGCAUAGUUAAUAUAAACUGUCUACAAACAUUAAGUAUCAAAUGGUUUUGUUUAUACAUAUUAUAUGAAGACAAUAAAGUUAAGGGGGGCGAGCCUAUACUAAAUCCGCAUGUGCUUGGAGGAGAAGUCGCCACGUCAUUUGUAGCCUAGGAUAGCCGUACAUACGUGUCGAGGUAUUUGUUUAUUCCUGCAUGUUGAGAAAAGAAAAGAAAAUACGAAAGAUAAAGAAUUUAGAGAGAAAACAAUUACCCUUUCCUUUUCCUUCGUUCUUCUUCCCGAUCAUUUUUUCCUUUAUGAACAAACCCUAGAUUUUGCUUAAUAGUGCUUUAGAUUUUGAGUAUUUGAUGUGUUCACAGAGAUAUGAAGAUGAAGGAGAGGAGAAGAUUGCAAUAAAUCUUUACGUGGCUUGGCCAAAUUUGAAGCCUACGUCUACGGGGAAGGAUCUCUUUUUUUGUUAUUGAAAAGGAGUACAAAAGUUCUACUUUCCUAUUCUCUUUAUGUGCUUUUUAGAUUGUUUAUGUGACUGUUAAAAACUAGUUUAUUUUUUGAACACAUCUUUCUAUUUAGUGUUUACAAAAACAUAAUAAUAGAGAAAUUAGGGAAUGUGAGUAACUAAGGUUGUUGGAAUUCAAUUUUCUUUACAAAGAAGAUAAUCAUCUAUUAACGAAACAAAUAAACAAUGCAUAUAUACGAAUAAUUUAAGCUAUCAAUCAACCCAAAAUUUUCACUUACCAAACAAUGUUUAUAUAUCUCGAACAUAUACAACCCUCGUAAUCAUCUCAUGUUAACAAAGUUCACAAAGAGUUUCCAAGUUAGAGACUUAUCAACCCCAUAUAGAGAAUUUUAAAAAGAAUGGUCAAACCCCAAUAUAUAAACUAUAAUAUGAAACGAAUGAUCAAACUCAUAUCUAAACAGUUCUACAUAAUACACAACUAAUAUAUAUAUCACAUGCCCCUUAUGAUCAAACACACAUGUGAGAUUUGCAAUCUGCAUACAACAAAUGAACGUUCUACCCAUAUACUAACAAGGAGCAUUUUUAAAAUUAGCAAAAUAAAUUAAAAUAUUUUUUAUUCUACCAAUGAUAGUCUUCUAUAGUUCUAUCAGUGAUAGAAUUUGCUAUAGGUUGUAAAUAUUUUGUAAAAUUUCGUUAAUAAUUCCCCUACUAACAAAUAUGUCAAUUCCAUUGAUAAUAUAAAAAAAGAUAUCAACUUAUAUGACUACGUAUAUCUUUAAAAAUUGAGCACCCUUAUCUCCAUGACAUGAGUAUAAAAAAGAAUAUAAACUUCAAAUCAAUAAACUCUUUGAUAUGGAUGGUUCAUACUCACUAGUAACUUCUUUUUAAUUUCUACAGAUUUUAUCCCUAACCUAUACUCCAAAUAUAUUCUCGAUAAAUUAAAAGAGAAUAGAUUCUCAUGAAUUUGAAUGCUUUCAUGUUUUGAUAUUGCAAAUUAAAUAAUAUAACGAAAAAGUGAGUGAGAAAAAUGAAAAAGGAGAUGAAAAGAACAAGUUAUUGACUUUUCAAAAAUAAUAUUUAUUGGAGUCAUAUAGAAAUUAAACGAUGUUAGAUUGUACUUUGGAAGGCUAUUAUUAAACCUAUCAAAGAUAAAUAAUAAUAAUCAAUAAUAACAAUAAUAUAUAUAAGAAUUAGAAAAAUUGUAAAAAAAAAAUAGAAAAUUUGACAAAAUAUUUACCACAUAUAGUAAACUUUUGAGAUUCUAUCAAUAAUAGACAUUGAUAGUCACUGAUAUGUUUCUAUCAAUGACAUUGAUAGAAGGUGAUAAACAUCUACCCGUUUCUAUCAUUGGUAGAAUAAUUUUUUUUUUGUUAUAACUUGUAAUUAUUUUAAUUUAUUUUUUUAUUUUUAAAAAUGAUUUUAAAUAUUAUUUAUUUAUUCGAUGAUACAAAUGCACAUAAAUUUUACAAAGGGUCUUUUAACAAAUAAUUUUAUAUCUAUAUAUGUAUAAUUUAGGGACAAUUUUAAAAAUAGCAAAAUAAAUUAAUAUAUUUGCAAGCUAUAACAAAAUUUUAGAUUUUAUGAAUGAUAGUCUUUUAUCACUAUAACAUAUCAAUAACUAUCAGUGAUAUAAUUUGUUAGAGAUCGUAAUUAUUUUAUAAAAUUUGUUAUUUUUGAAAAUUUUCCAACAAUUUAACUAAUUACAUGGAACAAAAGAACAAUUUGAGUUGGAUAAUCAAUUAUCAUGAAGAGAAUAUAAAAGUUAACUAACUUAUAUUAAAAAACAAUUUAAAGUAACUAAAUGAAAAAAAAUAUAUAAUAAUGAAAGAGGUUGAAAAAAUGGAAUAAACAAGAGAGAGAGGAUAAGGGCUAGGAAAAAGUGGUUGCAUUUGGAAAGGUCUAAAAUGCCCUCAUGGAUGGAUAUAAAAGAACAAAGACAUCGCAGACUUCAACAUCUCAUCCUCCAUACCUGUAACCAAUCAAGGACCUUUAUACAACAUUUUUUCAUUCUGAUCUUUAUUUCUAUAUCUAUCUGAAUACCAUUUUAAUGGCAGGCUACAGCACACAUUAUUUGGCAUUUCCAAGAGCUUCCACAAUAACAUGGAGUGAUGACACUCGAUAUUGGAGUUGGGCCACCGUAGAUUUUUGCAGGUAUAAUCUUCAACUCAAAUUUUAUUUGUUCAUUUAUUCAUAUCUCAUACAUUUUCAUCCAUUUCUUUUGUCUUCAUUCAUAAAAAUAUAAACUAGUUAUUAGAUUCUACUUUCAUGAAUAUAGGUUAUGUUCCAAUUAUAUGUUAUUUAUUAUUGUUCUCUCUCACCAUGGUAUUUAAAACCUUGCAGCUACGCAAUUGAAGAAGCCCGACUUUUACAAGUAUCUUGGUUCGAUUGUCGUUGGAGCAUGGAUGCAUCUGAUUUCAAACAAGAUAUUUGGUACAAUGCAAGCGUUGAAGUAAUGUUGACAAGCAACGCCUCUGGAUGGAAUGUUCCACUACACCUUGAAAUCGAGUUGCCAGAUGGGAGUAAGCAAGAGUCUCAAAUAGUAUUGGCAGGUAGACAACCAAAUGUGUGGUUAAAGAUUCCAAUAGGUAAAUUCAUACUAAGGGGUUCUCUGACUAGCGGAACAAUCCGAUUCGGCUUGUACAACCAUGAAGGGAAUUGGAAAAGAGGCUUGAACAUAAGAGCCCUUGCCAUUCAAGCAUAAAAAUGAGUUUGAAAUGGUAUGUUCAAUAAUGAAUAUAAAGUAAUAGAAUAAAACCCUAAAUAAUAAGAUCUUUUGCUCUGUGACAAAAACUUUUAAGUUUAAAUGUGUUAUAUUUCAGUUAUGCAAGUAACUGUUGAAUAUAAUGUAACACAACAUAAAUAAAUAAAUAAUAUGACAUGUUGCAUAGUAGUAAUAAGGCCAGUUUAAACACUUUAGUAAGUUUUUCAAUAAAAGUAUGUACUGUGAGUUUGUUCAAAUUAAAUCUAAGCACUCAUUUUGUGAUUGCUGAUCAUUUUGUACAUACAUUUUGAAAAUUAAAAAGAUAAAAUGAAAACAAGUUAACACAAUCAUAAUUUUGAUAUUAUUAAUUUGUUAAUUAAAUUAGGAAUUAAAUGAACUAAAAGUAACAUGAGAAGACAAAAUUAACACUUGUGUAAAUGAUGUUGCAAGAGUUACUUUUACGUUGUGAUGGAUUAGUUUUACCACCUACUGAUUUUCAAUUAAAUAGUCACAAGACCUAUUUUAGGGUUCUCGUUUAAUCAAGUAUAAUAUGUAAUAUGUUGAUGUAAACCACAACUUCUUGAUAGUAAGAGUAGCGAAGUCCGAUUUAACCACACAAGAAGCUUCGUGUUUAAUAAUACUCUAAGGUAAAUUUUUCUAAGGAAAAGAGUAUAUAGUGGGAGAGUGGUUUAUAGGUAAAGUAAAUGACAUAAAUAAAGUGUGGGAAUGUAAGAUAAUAGUGAGAAAUAAUAGGGUUACCUAUAGAUUACCUUUCAAUUGAAAGAUUCUUGAGAUAGAUCAUACAGAUUGAUUCGUCAAUUUAUUAUAUAAGAAUAGGGUUAUAUAAUCUAAGUACAACAAUAGCAAAAACAAUCUAGAAACAUCGGACAAACUCUCUUAUCGUAAUGAAUCAAUCAUAGACAACAAAAUCAAUUUUAAACUAAUCAACACUACUACAAAAAAGGGUUUACUUGACACUUUUCAAUGGGUUUAAUAAUCCAGUUUUAAGUAUAAGGGAGGUUCAGACAAUUUUUAAGCGUCAAGUACAAUUAUACUUGACAGGUGAAAAACAUCAAGUAUAUUACUUGACGCUUUCUACUUGUCAAGUUAUCCAGUGUCAAGAAUAAAUGGGUUUUUUGUUUGAAAGUUUUUAUGCGUCAAGUAAAAUUGUACUUUACAGUUUAUGAAGGUCAAGUAUACAAGAUUAGUUGACAGUUUCUAUAUGUCAAGGAUUUGAUUACUCUUGACACUCUUUGCAUGUCAAGGUUUUUUUUUUUCAAAUGAAAAAUUAUAUAUUUUAAAAUUAUAAGAUAAUGCUUUUUACCAAAAAUUAUAUAUUUUAAAGUAUCGACAUAUAUAAUUUAUCAUGCACCUAUUUUGAAGUUCAACAAUGACGAACAUAAGUAAAGCAAGAGAGUACUGAAAUGUGUUAAAUUACACAUUAAUUGAACAAUUGAAUCAACUCAAAUUUUCCAUCAAAUAAGUAAUAGUAUCUUAACAAGUUGCAUAUAUAUAUGUGUGUGUGUAUAUAUAUAUAUAUCAAUGAACCAUACAUGUAGUUAGUCCAAAUUUAUAACAAAAGCCUAAACUUUCUAUCCAUGUGUAGCUUAUAGGUAUAGCCUAAACUUUCCAUCUAUGUAUAUAUAGCCUAAACUUUCCACCUAUGUAUAGCCUAAAGGGUACCAUACCAAAACUUGUCGUUCUAGUAUCAACAAAAUAUCAACACUAAUUCACCUAUAUCCAAUAUGAACAAAAUAUCACACUUAUAUUCAGUAUGAACAAAAUAUCAACAAAAUCUGUUUAUCUAACCAAAAAUAUAAUCACCAUAAUCAAAUGUGGCCACCCAAAAAAAUUAGCAAGCUUCAUUCGCACUUCAUCCAACUCGAAUUGACUAUAUGAGCUCCUUAUAUCAAUCUGAUAUGAAACCUAAAAUUUUGAAGUUAGUACUUUGAUUACUUAAAUUGUAUAAAAUAAUUCAAACAAUCAUUUAAACACAACAUACCGAAUCUAUGACUACUAUGUUUCCAUUAGUGAUUAUAUCUCUCAUGUAUCUCAUCAUAUAGUACCCGCAUUCAAAUAUUUCAACUUGCAAAGGACACUGUAUAUAUAUAAAUUACCAAAAUACUUCAUAGUGCAAAUACCCCAUAUAACGUAUACUUUUAAUUAACGAAUAAAUAUGUUUACACUUACCUUCCCUAUAUUUUCCAUAUUGGUUGUUUUCGACUUGUUUGAAUAUUUUUCUGAGAUUGAAAGAUAGUAAUAGUCCUAUUUCCAAGAAACAACUACACGUUACCCACAAAGUGAACUUUAAAACGAAAAACAUCAUACAUGAAAGAAGCUUAUUUAUGUGUCAAUUACAUAUCUAAUAUCUACUCUUGAUGUUGUUCAAAGUGAGUCAAUAUGGUAGACUUCAUCGUAUGCGUUAAUAGCCAGAAGUGUCAUUUCCCACUACAUAGAAAUAAUACAAGUAGAUUGUUUUCACUGUCAGUGCAAUACAUUUUAAUGACAAUAAGCAUUAAUUAUAGUCUACAAAUCAGUUUUUCUACGCUAAAUCAAAAGUAGACGACAACAAUAAAAGUUGAACCUCCCCCUCCCCCCACCCCCCAUGAUUGCCUUAACAUAAUCCAAAGCCCUAAGCUUGAUCAAUUCAAAGAAGCAAAUCACACAAUAUGAUCAAAAGCUAAAUGGAGAGCACAUAAAAGUAUGAGUUAUGUGUUUCAAUAUCAAUGGAAGAAGAAGCAAUAUAUUUUAAUGAAUCAAUUAGUAUAAUAUUACUUACUCUAGAUUAAAAGGAGCCCGAACGAUACAAAGAACUUACUCAUGUUGACAUCUUUGAAUCUACAAUCCACCGAAUUUGGGGACACCACCCGUCAGAGACCUUCCUAUCCUAUGGGACGAGAUUGAUUUGUGGGAACUAAUUGAGAUGGAAAAAGUUUUAGAGAGAAACUAUUUUGCAGAAAAAGAAAAUCAUUAGUUUAAUUGAUUGGUUAAGAAAAACUGUUUUUCUUUGCAUAUUUAUAAAUCUUUUUUCUUUGUGGAGUAGGAGAGAACCAUGAGACUCUGUUAAUUUUAAAAUAUGAGAAUUAUGAGAUUCUGUUAAUUUUAAAAUAUUAAAUUAAUAGAAAUUUCAAAUCAUCUAAUUAAUUAACAAUUAAAUCAUAUUUCAUUUAAAUCUUAUUUAAUGAAUAUAUCUAUGAUAUCUUAUUAAUUUAAUUAAAUAAAACUAAACUAUUGAUUAAUUUUCUGAUUAAUUAAUAGUUAAAUUAAAUAUCUUAUAUUUAACUUAAAUUAAAUUUGAAUCAUAUUCAAAUAUAAAUUUCUCUCGUAACCAAUAAUUUUAAUAGGAAUUCAAUUGACAUUAAAUUAAUAUUUGAACUCAUUCAAAUAUUUUAUCUCUCAUAAAUUAAUUUUGAAUCAGUACGAAGAAGGUUGAACUCGAACGGAGAGAAGAGAUUGCGAGGUGGUGACAGUUAGCUUGGAUAUGGGGAGAGAAGAUGAAAAAAAAAAAAAGAUGUGGAAUGGCAUGCGUGGGUUUAUUUUUUUAAAUAUAAUGAUGAUGAUAAUAAUAAUAGAAUCUAUUACUAUUAUUAUUACUACAUAAACAAUAACUAUUAUUAUUUUACGUGUAUUUAUCAAGUUUCUAUUUCUUUCUUUUCCACAACUUCUAUCAAAACAACACCCAACAAUUUAAAAUCUUUAAAUAAAAUGGCAAUUUGUUUAAAAUAAAAUACCUCAAAGUCAAGGAUAUUACAUUUAAAAAUUGAGCACCCUUAUCUGGAUGACAUGAGUUUCAAAAAGAAUAUAAACUCCAAAUCAAUAAACUCUUUGAUAUGGAUGGUUCAUACUCAGUAGUAACUUCUUUUUAAUUUCUACAGAUUUUAUCCCUAACCUAUACUCCAAAUAUAUUCUCGAUAAAUUAAAGAGAAUAGAUUCUCAUGAAUUUUAAUGCUUUCAUGCUUUGAUAUUGAAAAUUAAAUAAUAUAACGAAAAAGUGAGUGAGAAAAAUGGAAAAGGAGAUGAAAAGAACGGGUUAUUGACUUUUCAAAAAUAAUAUUUAUUAGAGUCAUAUAGAAAUUAAACCACGUUAGAUUGUACUUUGGAAGGCUAUUAAUAAACCUAUCAAUUAUAAAUAAUAAUAACAUUAAUAUAUAUAAGAAUUAGGAAAAUUGUAAAAAAAAAAAAAGUAAAUUUGACAAAAUAUUUACAACAUAUAACCAAAUUUUGAGAUUCUAUCAAUAACAGAUAUUGAUAGCCACUGAUAUGCUUCUAUCAAAGACAUUGAUAGACGGUGAUAGAAAUCUACCCGUUUCUAUCAUUACUAGAAUAAUUUUUUUUUUGUUAUAACUUGUAAUUAUUUUAAUUUAUUUUGUUAUUUUAAAAAAUGCUUCUAAAUAUUAUUUAUUUAUUCGAUGAUACAAAUGCCCAUAAACUUUACAUAAUUACACUCUUAUAAAAAUGGUCUUUUAACAAAUAAUUUUUAUAUCCAUAUAUGUAUAAUUUAGAGACAUUUUUAAAAAUAGCAAAAUAAAUUAAUAUAUUUACAAGCUAUAACAAAAUUUUAGAUUUUAUCAAUGAUAGUCUUCUAUCACUAUAACAUAUCAAUGACUAUCGGUGAUAGAAUUUAUUAGAGAUCGUAAAUAUUUUAUAAAUUUUGCUACUUUUAAAAAUAUUCCAACAAUUUAAUUAAUUACAGGGAAGAUAAGAACAAUUUUAGUUGAAUAAUCAAUUAUCAAGAAGAAAAUAUAAAAGUUAACUAACUUAUAUUAAAAAAUAAUUUAAAGUAACUAAAUGAAAAAGAGUAUAUAAAAAUAAAAGAUGUUGAAAAAAUGGAAUAAACAAAAGAGAGAAAGGAUAAGGGAUAGGAAAAAGUGGUUGCAUUUGGAAAGGUCUAAAAUACCCUCAUAGAUGGAUAUAAAAGAACAAAGAUAUCCUCCAUACUUGAAACCAAUCAAGGACCUUUAUACAACAUUUUCUCAUUCUCAUCCUUACUUUUAUAUCUCUCAAAUACCAUUUUAAUGGCAGGCCAAAGCACACAUUAUUUGGCAUUUCCAAGAGCUUCCACAAUAACAUGGGGUGAUGACACUCGAUAUUGGAGUUGGGCCACCGUGGAUUUUUGCAGGUAUAAUCUUCAACUCAAAUUUUAUUUGUUCAUUUAUUCAUAUCUCAUACAUUUUCAUCCAUUUCUUUUGUCUUCAUUCAUAAAAAUAUAAACUAGUUAUUAGAUUCUACUUUCAUGAAUAUAGGUUAUGUUCCAAUUAUAUGUUAUUUAUUAUUGUUCUCUCUCACCAUGGUAUUUAAAACCUUGCAGCUACGCAAUUGAAGAAGCCCGACUUUUACAAGUAUCUUGGCUCGAUUGUCGUUGGAGCAUGGAUGCAUCUGAUUUCAAACAAGAUAUUUGGUACAAUGCAAGCGUUGAAGUAAUGUUGACAAGCAACGCCUCUGGAUGGAAUGUUCCACUACACCUUGAAAUCGAGUUGCCAGAUGGGAGUAAGCAAGAGUCUCAAAUAGUAUUGGCAGGCAGACAACCAAAUGUGUGGUUCAAGAUUCCAAUCGGUAAAUUCAUACUAGGGGGUUCUCUGACUAGCGGAACAAUCCGAUUCGGCUUCUACAACCAUGAAGGGAAUUGGAAAAGAGGCUUGAACAUAAGAGCCCUUGCCAUUCAAGCAUAAAAAUGAGUUUGAAAUGAUAUGUUCAAGAAUGAAUAUAAAUUAAUAUAAUAAAACCCUAAAUAAUAAGACAUUUUGCUAUGUUACAAAAACUUUUAAGUUUAAAUGUGUUAUAUUUCAGUUAUGCAAGUAAAUGUUGAAUAUAAUGUAACACAACAUAAAUAAAUAAAUAAUAUGACCUGUUGCAUAGUAGCAAUAUAAAAUGAAAACAAGUUAAAACAAUCAUAAUUUUGAUCUUAUUAAUUUGUUAAUUAAAGGAAAUGAAUGAAGAAAGAGUAACAUGAGAAGUCAAAAUUAACACUUUUGUAAAUGAUGUUGCAAGAGUUGCUUUUAUGUUGUGAUGGAUUGGUUUUUCCACCUACUGUUUUCAAUUAUAUUGUGACAAGAACUUUUUUAGGGCCCCUUAGUAAUCAAGUACAAUCGGGAAUAUGUUGAUGUAAACCACCACUUCUUCUUGAUAGUAUGAGUAGCGAGGUUAGAUUUAACCACAUAAGAAGCUUCCUGUUUAAUAUUGCCUGAGGUAAAUUUUUCUAAGGAAUAAAGUAUAUUGUAAAGCUAAGAAACUUGGAUCUUCGCAAGAGCUUGAAAGGAUUAUUUUUAAGUGAAGUAAGACAAGGAAGUGGACUUGAGAAUUGUCAUGGUCCGUAGAAAGAAGGCUAAGUAGUUGUGGUUCAAAAGUUAAGGAGGUUAGUUUGAAAAAGAGGAAAAUUUUGGGUAAGUCCAUGUCUAGGCGUUUUAGACUUGGUGGGUUGCCAAAAGAGAAGGAAAUAACCUCUAAAGAAGUUAUCUUGGCGUUUUGAUUGUGGACUAGGUGCGACAGAUGUCAAAAAAGGUUAUUUGGACAACUUGUGGUAAGCUAGGCGGCAAUCAUGUGUGUGUAGUGUUUGUCCAUGAAGGUUAAAAUAACCUCCAUGUGUGCUGGGUGAGAUGGCAUUGGCUAAGCAAAAAGAGUGUCUUUAGAGGUUAGUUGGGCGUUAAGCCUUGACGAAGAGGCUUGCAUAGAGGUUAGGUUGACGAUGAAAGGCUAGGCAAGGAAAGCAUGACCAUGCCAAGUGGGGUUAGCAAGGUGUUUUGGGUUGAGUAUGACACUUUGGCAUUUCGGUUAGGCGAGAUGAGGAAGAGGUGGAGUCGGUUAAGUUGAUUCCAUGUGUCAUGUGAAUGCAUAAGUUAAAUUUUGGCUACUAGAAGGUGUCAAUAAAUGUUCAUGCACGGCUAGGUCACUUCAAAAUUCAUUUUCUACCAAAGCACUCAAAAUUUAAAAAAUUGAGUCUAUUUUCUAAGUAGGGGCUGCCAGACGAAUUUGAGAGAGGGAAGUGAUGGGACAAAUAUUGACCUGUUCAAAUAUAGUCUAUUCUCAAUCCUUAUCAUGUAUAUUUUCACUAUUUUUAUAUUUUAUACAGAAUAUGAAAGUAGACUUCAAUACGAAUCUAAUGACACAAAAAUCACCUAAAUUGGAGUUCAAACAAAGGAGAACGGGCAAAUUAAACAUACGGGGCAUUUCCGUAAAUAUUGAAGAGAUUGACACGUGUCAACCCCUCAGCCGCUCACGCCUAGCCUCAAGAUCACGGAAUCGAAUCUCGCUUCACUCAUAAUAUUCACUACAUAUUUCCUUCAAUCCAUGCCUUCAACAAUCCGACGAUUCUCUUUGGCCACGUGGCGUGAUCUCAGCGCGCGCGUCCCUCAGCCAUGCGGGUUCGAAAAAUUAAUAUCAAAACUUCCGAAAUUACUCCAAUUUUCAUAUUUUCUUCUUCUUGGAUAUGGGCUUAGAAAUACACUUUGGCCCAUUUCCUCUAAUUCUCCCUAUAAAUACCCCGAAUAAUUCCUAAUUUCAUAUUCAAUUUCAAUACAAUUCACUAUUCCCUCCAAAAAAUACUCUUAAUUUCUCCCAAAUUCCAAUGUCUCUACCCUAACUCUAUAAUUUUUUUAUCUUCAACCAUUUUUUCGGAAAUAUCGAAGAUGGAAGGCUUGGGCUUAGACAUUUUCAAUCCUUAGAGAAUUUGAUUAAUUAGAUUUUUUUUUUAUAAUUAGGGUUUGAUUAGUCUUUGAUUUCCAUGUAAUUUUUGUUAGAAUCAUCGAUGUUUAAUUCCAUUUUAUUGAAUUUUGUAAUCUUGAUUCUUGAUUUUAUGAUUUUUUUGGUUCAAUAUUGUAAGCAAUUUACCCCUAGUAUUUCAAUUAGUGCAAGAUUAGUUGAUUUGCUUGCUUAUAUACAAAAUUUACAUAAUUUUUCAUUUUAUCUCUCCCAAUUUUAGAAUUGUGUAAUGCCUCUUUUGGAUUUCAAUUGUUUUUGGAUAAUUCUUGGAAUUAAAUUGCAUUUUUUUGUGCACAAAUUAAUUUCUCUUUGAUUCCUUGAAUAUAAAGUUGUUGUUGAUCCAUCUUGUGUUUUCUUUUAAAGAAAAGAAUAAUGCGUUUAGUUAGAAUUGCAAUGAUCAAACUAAACCCUUUGAAAUUCUUUAGUUGGUUCUGAAUUUUGAUUCAAGAAUUCCUUUCAAUAUCAAGCAAUUUGAUCUUGGAAAGAAAUCUUGAAUCAAAUUCUCUUUUAAAGCUAUGCAUAAUUCAAUUUUCUUAGCUUCUUUGAUUCAAUGAUAAGAUUUGAUGUAAGUGUAAGCCUAUGUCUCACUUACCACCUUGGUAUUCAAUAUCUAUUAUCUCCCUCUUUUCUGAGUUGUUUUCCAUACUAAACUCCCCUUCUCAUUCCCUGCUACAAUUUUCCCCCAAUUUGUUUUCAAUACUUUUAUCUUCCUUUCGUUACUAAUCUUCAUAUUUCCAAGCAUUUCAUUCAAGGAAAAAUUGAUCACUCCUUUGGGUUCGACACUCUUGCUUGCUUCUAUCUACGGUAAAAUCAAGGGUAAACUAUAAAUAAAUUUUCAUCAAGGCGUUUAACUAAGUACCCUUAGUUGAUAACGACCUUACAUACUCUUUGCAUAAUGUUUUUUCUUCUUGAUGUCAAUUCUCGCCUUGUCAAUAAAUGUUCAUGCACGGCUUAAUAUAAAUAGGUCACUUCAGAAUUCAUUUUCUACCAAAGAAGUUUAAAAAUUGAGUCUAUUUUCUAAGUAGGGGCUGCCAGAAGAAUUUGAGAGAGGGAAGAUUGAGUUUAUGUUCAUAGAAUAGAAAGGUCAUUGUCGAAAGGAUUCUAAGCAAUAUUCACUUCAAGGAGGCUACAUAACUCAUUACAAGAAGUUUUGGGCUGAACUUUUGAGAUGAGAAUGUUAACACAAUUUGCAACAAUUGUGUCGAAGAAGGUAUUUUCAUUUGAGUUCUAGAUUGUAAGCUAUUAAACUCUAAAGUAUAAGUAAGGUUCUGGUAGAAAAUGAGUUUAUGGACGAUGGAGGUUGUUGGCCGAGUGUCAGGGGUUGCUAGGCGAGAUGGGUAUGGAUAUUAGGUUAAAAAAGUUUUGAGAUUUUUAUGAUUAAAUGGAAUUAAGUGAAAUUAUUUUCUGUUAUUUCAAGUCAGGAAAAGAUCGGGUAGAUUUACAGAUCGAGGGUCUAAACUACUGUCCGUGAGUGACAAAAUGAGUUUAAAGUUUAUUUUCGAACAUGAUUUAUUAUAAAAUGUACAUUUUAAUCAUACUUUGAUAUAAGAUUUAUGAAUACUUUGAUAUAUGAAUACUUGAGUUUACUGAUUAAGCAAAACUUUUCAAAGCAUGAGUUUUGAAAUAUUUAACAAGCAUGUAUUUCUUGAUGAAUUUACUCAUGAGAUUUACAAAGCAAGUUUGUUUAUGAUAAGUAUUUAAGUUAAAGAAUGAUUUUUAGAAUGUUUUAGACUAUACCGACCGAUAUAGAUAACAACCUUUUGGGAGAUAUUACCUGUGCACAGAGGUGAUGGAAACAGUAGACAUGCACAGCGGAAUUACGAUCAAAUUUUUACUCUAAUUGCAACUAAACAAGUUUAGUGAUUAAUAUGCAUAAAAAACCCUAAAAUAACGUAGAUAGGGUUAAAAGAAAAACUUACCUUUGAAGUUUUUCUUCUCUUGUAUUGUCUUCACGAAUUUGAAGUCAGCAUAACCACUAGAGUUUACUCGCUAUUCUCCGGACUUGAAACCGAGUUGUGAGACUAAAAAAUGGUGGAGAAAAUAGAGAGAUGAUAUCCUUUUAAGGAACCUAACAUUUUGGUUUUUUUUUUUUUAUGUUAAAAAACUCGAAUGGAAAGAGUUCUUGGAUUUAUUUUGUAAUUCUCAAUUACAAAAUUAAUUUUCAAUCUUCAAAUUCAAGAGUCAUUUCACCUUUGCAUAAAGUUUGUUUACAAGCAAACUACAUGCAAAAGGAACUAUCUCACUACUUGAUAUUCUUAGUGGGGUAGGUGUCUUGCAUGCAAUAAGCCACUUGCAUAUCACAAGCAAGUGAUAAGCUAGCCAAAUCUCAACAAAUGUUAUUAUUUAAAUUAGUCUAAGGGUAAUAUGGUAAUUCAACAUUUAAAUCAAAUUCAAAGUUUGACUUUUUCAAAUUUAAAGUCAACAUUUUGACUUUUUGUAGUCUAAAGUCAACAUUUUGACUUUUAACCAUUUGUCCGUCUUGACUAAUUUCAACCUCCCAAGCAUGAAUCCGUAUUUAUUUCUCCAAAAUUCAAAUCACAUUUGAAUAUAAAGUCGAAGUUUAAUUUUCAAAGUCAAAAGUCAACAUUCUGACUGUUUACAUCUUUGACCUUUUUCAUCAAUUCCGAGUUUCCAAAUAUGAAUCCAUAUUUAUAUAAGUAACAUUUAAACAUGAAGCUCUAUCUUAAGUAUAACCGAUGACUAUAUCAGAUAUAUUUGUCAGUUUCUUUCUCUUUACCUAAUUCGAACAAUUCGAAUUAUUCCAUCAUAAUGUUCUAAGUUGAUUCCUUGUGAGCUAGUCGGGGAACCUAAUGGACCUAUAGAUCAUGAACUCCAACGAUAUGAGAUUAACUGGCUAAACUCUUUAGACGAGUUAAUCAACAUUCGUUAACUACGGGUCAUUCCACUAAAGUCUCGUCAUUGCACACCCCUCACUAUAGAUAUAUUUGUGUCCAUGUGAUAUGACCAUGAUAAGUACGUUAAUCCUUCAUAGGUUGUUCAUAAUCUCGACUGGGUCAAAGUACCGUUUUACCCUCGAGAUUAUAUCUUUUCUCCUUAAGUCCCACUGAUCCACUAUUGAACAAUUGAUUUUAGGUCCAACCUAUAAAUCGAAUCCCUCUCGAGCCAAUGAGAGGGUGGGGCCCCUUAUUCAAGACUUGGAAUCAAUUCUUAAGGGAACAACCUAUCUACUAACCCUAAAACGAGUAGAAGUGAAUUUCAUCUUGCACCCUAUGUCCCUAGCUGUCCAGUCGGUCUUACCCCUAAAAUGGGAGGCUUAUUGCACCAGCGCCAUUGAGUUGUCAUCAUCUAUGCAGAUCUAAGGAUAAUUCCAUGUGAACAGAAGUUCAUAGAUAGCUCAUGAUUAAGAUUAAGUUUCAUUGGAUAUCUAUAAACGAAAUAGUUAGUUUUACAAAGCUAACGGUGUUCUAACUUAAAAGUGACUAUUUCAUGGUUAUAGUCUUAUGUAAACUUUUUACAUAGGAUGCCCCCACUUUCAUGUCUCUACAUGAACGAUUCGAAAUCACAUCAUUUGUACUAACUACAAAGCAGACCACAUCCAUAGUGUCCCUAGAAUAAGGUGUCCAACCGUAUUCGUAUACUAUAGACUAUUUAGGCUAUAUACUCGAACUUGAUCCACGUUUAUGUCUCUAUAUAAAGUUCAAGUUUACUAUAUAUAAUAGCCUCGGGUCUUUAGUUUAUUGGCUUUAAGAUUAGAGUAUCAAUAACAAUUUUAUUGAAUAGAAUAUGAUUCGAAACUACGAGUUUUAUGACAUAAAUUCCAACAAAAGGUUCCUUUGAUGAAGGUAUUCAGUAGAUACCUAGAUUCCUAUCACUUAGACAGAUUAAUGAAGAUCUGUUGGUUACCUACAUUAUUGUAGUUAUAACGAGUUGGGGCAAUACUGAUUAAUUGAUUGUUUAGACUUAAUACUUUCGUGUGUGUGUAACCCAUAUGCAAUACGUCACUAAGUCAGGUAAUCGUGUGUAAUGCGCUCACUGUAACUCUCUAUAUAGCAUGCUUUGAUUAUAGGCGAUGAGUCAUGGUCAUGACCAUAGCAUGUGAAAUGGUCAGUAUGUACCUUUUCAUCAAGUAAUACUUAAGUUCUCGUUGAAUACAAGUUUUCCUAUUGCUUGUUCAAGUGCAAGCGAAACAAUAGGUUUACCUACAUGAUCCAGGAUCGAACACUGAGAAUUUAUUUUAGUCAUUACUUCUAGGGAAUUACUCAUUAAUUGGGCAGUAAAAGAAUUAUCUACUAACGUAUAAAAGAAUCAGAAGUAGAAUUAAAACUACUUAUAUACGCCUAAAGAAUCUGUAAAGGGGGCUAGCUAGAUGCGAAAUGGAAUUGUAUGCAAACUAACUUGUAUGUGAGAAAGAGUGAAGAAAGGUCAAUGCACUAUUAGGCGGUUAAGCAAUGCAAGAGCUUUGAUGCGAUUUAACUUACUCAACCAACUUAUGAUUAAGGCGUACUCCUAUCAAAGUAUUAAACGUCAUACAUAGUCUCCUUUCAGGAUCUACAUGACUAAGUCUGAGUAGGUGAAAUAUAUCUAGGAGCAUUCACUUAUAACACUUAUAAAACUCUGUGAUUAAGAACAACAACCUCUCAAACGCUUAAUGUCCACACUUGUUUGCCUUUCGGUAUACAAAUGUUGGAAGUUAUCUCGCUCAGGUGGAUUUAUUGCCAAAUUCGUCCUUGUGCGCAUUAUCCUUAUCCUUGCUACUUGCCCUCUUGGAUAGUAGGCGAUUGACACUAGCCAAGCGAUGAAUAUAUAUAGCUUAACUAAUGCAAUAAGCAUUAUAAGCUAAACUUCUUAUCAAGAGCUUAUCACAAACCUAAUAUUGCUAAUAACACAUUGACAAGUGAGAAGUUAAGAAGUGAUGGAUUGAAAAGGGUCUGUUGCAUUGCACAUCAUCUCCAACUACCACCCUUGUCUUCUAGUGACCCUUCCUCGCAUGAUAACUUUGUUCCUCAUUUAGGGAUGAUAAUCGCUAGAUGAGUUUUUGGUUAUAGUCCUUGGGCGAAAUAUUUCCUGUGAUUCACUAGUUUCUUUCUUUGUUCAUUAUCCAACAUUUAGACACUAAAAUCGAGUGAAACAAACAUAACACUUAUGCAAAAUAUAUUUCCAAGUACUUAUUCGUUUGCAACACAAGUUACACAUUCUGAUAAUCUUCUUGUGCGUUUUGACUUCAUUAUUCUAAUAAAAUGAGCUAUAAUAACGGAUGUUUAUAUACGCUGUCACGCCCCCAAAUUUAGAAUAAUGCUUGUCCUCGAUCAUUGCUCCCUAUUAUGCUUGUCCUCGAGUAUUGCUCCCUAUUAUGCUUGUCCUCAAGCACAAUUCCUCCUUAAAGACUCGCCUUCCUCUUUUGCAUUUCAACACUUCUCAAAACGCAAGCAAGUUUUCUUCGUUAUUCAUGAUUUACUCUCAUCAUGUACUUCUUGCUACGAAAAUAUUUCUAAGUUCAGAAUGUGACAAGAUUAGUACUCAAAAUAUCCUUGUUCAUUUCCCACAAUAAAUCUUAUUUUCAAUUUCAGAAGUGAUCAAAAUUUUCAAAAAGUAUCAAACUUUAACAUUAUAAAUUAUGCUUGGAAACAUAAGUUUUCAUAGAAAUCUCUUUGAAAUAUUAUCACUUGAAUUCUUCUUUCAAAUUAGUAAAGAGAAAUCAUAAUAAAGUUUUUAACAUAAAUUCAUUUGAGAGAAAAGCACUCACAAAACGUUACAAAAGAAGUCCUUCUUCUUCUUCUCGCAAGCCUCUUCUCGUGUAGCUAAAUGAGCAACACUUCAACAUUUCAACAAAACUUCCAUCAUCCCCUCCUUAGUUACCCAAAUCCUCUUAUUAAUUGAGUCCUUAAACUAACUUAGUCAUGCAUAAACUCUUCUCAAUUCGCCAGCUCCUGCUUAAAACUUUACAUAUGUAAAUUUAAUAUUCAACCUAGUCAUGUUUAAGUCCUUAAUCUUACACGUUAACCUUUUUCAAAUCAGAUUUGACAUUUUCUUCGCCAGACCUUGCUUCUCGCCUAACCCAAACUGCGAAUAACUUCAACCACUUAACAUUUCUCGCAAAUAACCUUAUCGUGUGGUUAUAUUUUUACUAUAAGAAACCUUGCACAUGAACUAGCCAACAUUUACUCGCAUAGAACUCUUAUUGUGAACUUAAGCUCCAAGUCUUCCUCGCAUACUUCUUCUCCAUGAAACACUUGGUUCUUCUCUCGAAGACCACCCAAAACGUCUAGUCUAACAUUGUCAAAAUUUUUACUUAACUUAUGCGCAGACUUUUUCUCUUCUUAUCGCACAACUUCUUUCGUGAACUACCCAUUAAUGGCAAAAACGUAUAUUUAACCAUAAAAGAUUUUAUCGCUUAAUCCUUUUCACAGAUUUAUUCAAACGCCAACUUCUUAAUACUUUAACUGAAUUUUACUUCUUUACACGAAUGAGAAAUGAGUCUCACAAGAUCACUACUUAAAAAGUGAGAAAACAUUUGAAUGAAUGAGUUGAAAAAACUAGUGAGUGACGGUUCUAUAAAACAUGCUUUUCUAAAUAGUUAUGCACAAAUCUUUAGCUUUCAGAAGCAUUCAAAUAAAUGAAUAACAUUUUAUAAACAUGUAUCUUGAAACUUUCAGACAUUUGAAAUACAUAUUAUAAACUUUACUUGAUCAUUAAUCUAUAGUAUGUCCCUAACAUUAAACAUGAGUGUUGGUACACCUUACCAUUAAUGAAUGAAUUCUCUUAACGUAGGCACAAUUCUAACUGCAACCUUCUCUACACAGGCAUAAGGAAUUAUCCUUCAUUGAUGUACAAGGAACAUAGGCUCGUCAACCUUUACAUUAGUAACGAAAAACAACUAUGUGCACAUAAACUGAUGAUAAAGAGUAACAUAGAACAUAUGGGUAUAGAUUCUAAAAACGUAUUUGAAAUCUUGAACACAUGCUUGCUUUAAAUCUCCGUUAGAUUUCAUAUUUAUAAUACACACUUGGAAAUAGUUUACAAAUCAUGCUUUGUAAAUCAUUUACUAAAUUAGUAGCGAAAAUAUCAUUUAGCAUAUCAAAGCAUGUAAGAAAACUAUUGCCUUUACAUUCAUGUUCCUAAAUAGAUAUAAAUAUAUAUAUUUCAUUCAAAAACUUAAACUUGUGGCUCAACCCCUUAGCCAUGAAAUCUUUUUAAUUCUUCUUGUCCUGAAACAAUAAUAUUUAAGCCUUAAUUAACCUUUUUACCUUAUAAAAUAUUCAAACUUUACUAAAAUCGGCAAAAUUAAACAUAAAAGAAAGCUAAAAAAUGGAAUUUAGCAUGCCUGGCACAGGGCAUAACGGUCAUGGAUGGCAGGGUGGCUAGCGUGCGCAUAACGGUUUGUGUAGUCUGGUCGUAUGCUAGAAUAACACAUGGCUUACGUGUUAUGUACAUCCUCGAAGAAAGGCUUGCUACAUGGCCUUGGCGUGCGCUGACCCUAUUACUCGCAUGCUUCAAAGCCCGUGCUAACAUCUUUCACCUAACUUCCUCAUCUCGCCUUCCGUGUCACUCGGUCAACCUUCAACUUGGCCUAUAAUUGUUUUUUCAUCAAGAAUGUAACCCAACUUUUGAGGUCUAUAACUUAAAAUUCGUAACUCAAACGAGAAACCUUCCUCCUAUAAAGUUGUUUAGAAUUUUCUUAAACAUCUUACCUCCAAAUUGCAGCUACAUAUUCCAAGUAAUGUGUUUUGUAGCCAUCAAGAAUGUAACAUUGCUCAAUCUUGUGCAAACAAUGACCUUUGGUAAUUUAGGUCAGAAGUUGGACUUUCUCCUAAACUCUUUUUAGUUCGAAAAUCCUACCUUAAUAAAUAGACUCACUCACAAUUCUUUCGGGACUAAUAUGAGUAAAUUUUCACAAGUAGAAUGGAAGUUCUGAUCGUCCAAAGUUACCUAUUUAAUAUGAACCUUGCAUGCCUAACUUUUAACACCUCUUACUUGAAUGGUUUGCUUCCCACACCUCCCGCUUGCCGAAACAUAGGUGUUUGCAUGCUAUGACACUUGGAUUCCACUUCCACCUCUUGCCCAAAAUGCAUAAAGCUUCCUUUUCUCGUAUGGCUACUCACAUGCACACACUCAUGCCUUGUUGCACACCUUUUCGUGUGGCUGUUGCUCGCGUGCCUUGCCUUGGUUGCAUGAUGAAGCUCACCUAGCACACCUUGUAUGGCUACUCACAUGCACACACUGAUGCAUGGCAGGAUCGAUUGUUGAUAGGAAGUCUACCUUCGGUUAUUGUAACUUUGUUUAAGGCAAUCUUGUAACUUGGAGAAGCAAGAAGCGAAGUGUUGUGGCAAGAAGUAGCGAUGAGGCCGGAUCUCGAGACAUGGGUUUUGGAAUAUGUGAGGAAAUUUGGCUCCAGAAAGUCCUGUCUGAUCUUCAUCAAGAAUGUGAGACUCCUUUGAAGCUCUUCUGUAAUAAUAAAGUCGUUGUUUGUAUUGCUAACAACCCAAUUCAGCAUGAUAGAACUAAGCAUGUUGAGAUCGUUUGACAUUUCAUCAAAGAAAAACAUGACAGUGGGAGCAUAUGCAUUCCAUACAUCCCUUUGAGCCAACAAGUUGCUGAUGUUCUCACCAAGGGGACUUCUCAGACCAAACUUUAAUUUUUAUGUUAGCAAGUUGGACCUCAUUGAUAUUUCCGUCCCAACUUGAGAGGAAUGUUAGUUUAUGGAAAAUUUAGUUAUAGAAAGUUGACCAAAAAUAUAUUCUCUUUCUUUUACGGUUGUGUAACCUAUUUAAUGUCCUUCAUUGUACCAUUGUAAUUCAUUAGAAAAUAAUAAGAACAAUAUAUCGUAGUUUUUAUCGCGAUACUCAGGUUUCCACGUAAGUUGGUUUGUGUCUUUAUCUCUACUUUCAGUAAUAUUUUGAAUAAAAAGUUGAGGAUAUUAUCUGGUCUUAUAUUUUCAGCAUUUUGUCAUUUUCUUACUACAAGGAUUCAUCAGAAUAUGAUGCCGAAGAUCAAUAUGAUGAUGAGUUCUGUUGGAAUAAAUGGUUAUGAUUCUUCAUGAAUUGAUGUAUCAUGAGUUGAUGUAUCAUUUCAUGAAAAGUUGGAAUAAAUGUUUAUGAUUCUUCAUGAAUGGAUGCAUCAUGAGUGGAUGCAUCAUUUCAUGAAAAGUGUCAUUAACUAAAGGACAUGACUUUUUGAAUGGCCACAAAAAGUCUAUAAAUAAGUCAUUUUGGUUGAGAGAAAAGUACAUAGAAAAAGUCAUUUGUCUUCAAUAAACAAAUUUCUCUUCAUAUCCACAAUCUUGAUGUUCGGUAGAUUCACAAGGUUUCGUUCGUAGAUCUUCUAUACGGGGUGCUACACUUAGAAGAAAGUUGAUAUGUUCUAUCCUCGGAGGCAAUUACUCUAAAUUCUCAAGCACUAGGGUGAGUAAAUUUGUCUUAAGGAGACAAUGUGAAUUCGUUGAGCUCAGAUCUAUAUUUGUGUAUGAUUUUUUUGUUCACUGUGAUAAUAAUAUACCUAGCAAUUGAUAAUCUGUAUAACAAGUUCAUCGACGAUAAUGAUGACUAUUCUGGCAUGUACUCAACUUCACCUAUUCCUAAAAGUGGAGGUAAUUUGAAAAUUCUGCGAACUUACUAUUAUACCAAUCACUUGGCAUUUUUUCCAUGUUGUUUCAUUUGUUUCUUGAUAUUUUUCAAGAUAUUAUAGGCUAGCUGAAGCUAUACUUCUAUUCAAUACCAUGGGGCCAUAAGAGAAUUAUAAAAAAUUGAGCCUAAUCUUUGUUACUAUUCCUAAACCUAUUUAUCUUGUGAACUUUAAAGGAUUAGUACUGGAUAGUGAAUACCAUUUAAUCCACGACAAUUCUGCUCAUACAAUUUGGGGAAGCUUGUGUAUUUGUUUUGAUAGUAUGGGGCCAUGUGCCAUGCUGAAGUUAGGAUUUCUUGAUGUUCCAUAGUUCUAGCUGUCAUGGGAACUUUGGAUUGAAAGGGAAUAGGCGAACCAUUCGCAGUUUGAUCAUUUUUGCUGACAUGGUGUCUCUUUCUGUGUUCUGAAGUUCUCUUCUAACUUUUUUUUUUUUACUUUCUGACUUCUGCUCUAUCAAGUUUUGGUAAGUAUGUUUACAACUACGCAUAAAAUUGAAAAUUUACUUUGUAGGAAGAGAUUUAUUUGAGCAUAUAUGUUGGAUCAUUGGAUGCAAAGUGUAUAUGAUUUAUGAAGAAUUAGAUUUCAAAUCUUAAAUGUCAUCAAACGUGUGGACAUAUAUUAUUUGUACAACUUUCUUGUCAUUGUUGCUAUAUCAGUUGGUUGCGGCCAUGCUUAACUGACUUUAAUUUAUUCGCAUAUCCUAAGUUUAUUUUUUAAAUUUUUUGGCGUUUUGACCUUGAUUGAUUUUAACUAUAAUUUCAAGUGUUUGAUUCCCUUCCCAUGAUUUCUAGUUUUAAUUGAGGAGUGAAAAGAAACAAGUGAAGGAUGAGAGUGCAGCGGUUAAUCCAAUUUCUGAUGGAGAUGAGAAAGAUAAUUACACAAGAGGGAAUUCACUCAUUCCCUACUUUAGGGUAAGUAGAUGAGUGUUCCCUUAAAUGGUGUCACCAGUUCUUGAACAAAGGACCCUACCCUCUCCAUGGCACGACAGAGGUUUCUGUUUAUUGGUAGGACCAUAAAAAAGUUGUUCAUUGGAGGAGCAUUGGUAUUUAAGGAUUAGAGAUAACCCAGGGGUAAAACGGUAAAUGGACCCAACUGGUGUUACAAACACUCGUGAAGGACUAACUUACUGUUAUUGGUCUAUAUUUGUGGACACAGAAAUAUAUCUACAGUGAGAAGAGUUCAACUGUGAGUCUUUAGUGGAGUGUACACACAGUUAACGAAUAUUGAUUAAUGUCGUUAAUGAGUUUAGCAAAUUAAUCUCAGAUCGUUGUAACUUCUGAUCUGUAGGUCCAUUAGGUCCACUUCCUAGCUCGUACAUGGUAAUGAGAUUUAUUUAUAUUGGUUGUAAUUUGAAAUGUUCAAAUAUACUUAGGGAAUUAGUUUAAUGUAUAGUGAUACUUAUAAUAUAAAAUUUGUAAAACUUUAUUAUAAAUUUAAUUUUGGAUAUGAUUCAAAAUUAAUUUAUGGGAGAUAAAAUAUUUGAAUGAGUUCAAAUAUUAAUGUGAAUUGGAUUCAUAUUAAAAUUAUUGUUACGAGAGAAACUUAUAUUUGAAUAUGAUUCAAAUUUAAUUAAAGUUAAAUAUCUUAUAUUUAACUUAGCUAUUAAUUAAUUGGAGAAUUAAUUAAUAAUUUAGUUUUAUUUAAUUAAAUUUGAUUUAAUUAAAUUUAUAAAAUGAUAUUGCAAAGAUAUUAUAUUUAAUUAUAUUAAUAACAUAUUGGAGAGAUAUUUAUUCAAAUAAGAUUUGAAUGAAAUAUUAAUUAUUAACUAAUUGAUUAAUUGUUAACUAAUUAAUAGAUUUGAUAUUAAGAAUCUCAUAAUUCUCUCCUACUCCUUUUCCUAUUCCAAGAAAGAAAGAGAGCUAUAAAUAUCUAAAAGAAAACAGUGUUCUUAAAGCAAAAUUUAUUAAGAAAAAAGCAAAGGUUUUUUCUCUCUACAAAAUGAGUUUCUCUCAAAUAUCUCUAAGUCUUUUUCCAUCCCAAUUGGUUUCCACAAACCAAUCUCAUCCCAGAGGAUAGGAAGAUCUCCGACGGAUGGUGUCCUAAUUUGGAGAUUGAUUUGUAAAUUAAGAGAUGUCAUCGAAAGUAAGUUCUCGCAUCUUAUCUUUAAAAGCAUACUUAGAAUCUAUUUAGAAUUUUGAUUCUAAAAUUUUGCCAAUGUAUCGGUAUUUUAAGAUUCUCAAAUUAAUUUGAGAAACCGUUCUUUAAAUUAUUCCGCUGCCAUAAGGCUUUUAUUACUCUUUGUUCAUUCAUUUCCUUUAAUUAACAAAUUAAUAAGAUCAAAAUUAUGAAUGUGUUCACUUGUUUUUCAUUUUAUCUUUUUAGUUUCCAAAAUGUUUGUUCUAUGAUGUAUGUACAAAAUAAUAAAUAAUCACAAAAUGAAUGCUUAAAUUUAAUUAGAAUAAACUCACAAUACAUACUUUUAUUGAAAAACAUACUAAAGUGUUUAAACUGGCCUUAUUGCUACUAUGCAAAAGGUCAUAUUAUUUAUUUUUUUAUGUUUUGUUACAUUAUAUAUUCAAUAUUUACCUUCAUAGCUAAAAUAUAACACAUUUAAACUUAAAAGUUUUUUGCAAUAGAGCAAAAAGUCUUAUUAUUUAGGGUUUUAUUCUAUUACUUUAUAUUCAUUCUUGAACAUGUCAUUUCAAACUCAUUUUUAUGCUUGAAUGACAAGGGCUCUUAUGUGCAAGCCUCUUUUCCAAACCGCUGCAUGGUUGAAGAAGCGAAAUCGGAUUGUUCCACUAGUCACACAAUCAGGUAGUGUGAAUCCACCUAGUGGCAUAUUGAACCACACAUUUGGUUGUCUGCCUGCCAAUCCUAUUUGAGACUCUUGCCUACUCCCAUCUGGCAACUCGAUUUCAAGGUUUACUGGAAAAUUCCAUCCAGAGGCGUUGCUUGUUAACAUUACUUCAAUGUUUGCAUUGUACCGAAUACCUUGUCUGAAAUCAGAUGCAUCCAUCAUUCCAACGACAAUCUAGCCAAGAUACUUGAAUAAGUCGGGCUUCUUCAGUUGGGUAGCUGCAAGGUUUUAAAUACCAUGGUGAGAGAGAACAGUAAUAAAUAACAUAUGAUUGGAACAUAAUAUAUAUUCAUAAAAGUAGAAUCUAAUAACUAGCUUAUAUUUUUAUGAACGAAAACAAAAGAAAUAGAUGAAAAUGCAUGAGAUAUGAAUAAAUGAACAAAUAAAAUUUGAGUUAAAGAUUGUACCCGCAUAAAUUCACGUUGGCCCAACUCCAGUAUCGAGUGUCAUUACCCCAUGUUAUUGUGGCAGCUCUUGGAAAUGCCAAAAAAUGUGUGCUUUGGCCUGCCAUUAAAAUGGUAUUUGAGAGGUAUAGAAAUAAGGAUGAGAAUGAGAAAAUGUUAUAUAAAGGUCCUUGAUUGGUUACAAGUAUGGAGGAUAUCUUUGUUCUUUUAUAUCCAUCUAUUAGGGCAUUUUAGACCGUUCCAAAUGCAACCACUUUUUCGUAUCCCUUAUCCUUUCUCUUUUUUGUUUAUUCCAUUUUUCAACAUUUUCUUUUUUAUAUAUUCUUUUUCAUUUAAUUACUUUAAAUUGUUUUUUUUUGUAAUAUAAAUUAGUUCACUUUUGUAUUUUCUUCCUCAUAAUUGAUUAUUCAACUCAAAUGGCUCUUCCCUUCCCUAUAAUUAGUUAAAUUACACAUAUAUGGAUAUGAUAUUAUUUGUUAAAAUACCCUUUUUAUACAACUAUUAAUUCUUAAGUAAUGUAAUUAUGUAAAAUUUAUGCAUUUAGAUGUACAAUAUAGCAUCGUUUAAUUUCUAUAUGGCUCCAAUAAAUAUUAUUUUCGAAAAGUCAAUAACUCGUUCUUUCCAUGGGUCUCACUCCCUCUCUCUUUAUAUUAUUUAAUUUUCAAAAUCAAACAAUGAAAGCAUUAAACAUUCAUGAAAAUGUAUUCUCCUUUAAUUUAUUGAGAAUAUAUUUGGAGUAUAGAUUAGAGAUAAAACGUGUGGAAAUUAGAAAGAAGUUACUAUUGAGUAUGAAUCAUCCAUAUUCGUAGAUUAUCAAAGACUUUAUCGAUUUGAAGUUUAUAUUCUUUUUGAAACUCGUGUCCUGGAGAUAAGGUUGCUGAGAUGAAAUUUGAAUUUUUUUAUUAUCAAUACAAAGGUCUUUCUAAUAUAUGUUGGUAAUGUUUAAUCAUGAAUUUUAAUUGUUUUUUACAGCAAUUUUUUUUUAAUAUAAGUAAAUAUGUGAAACAAGUUUUUGAUGACAUGUUUUGACCAUGAAGAAAAUUAGUUUUCUUGAGGUUCGACUUUCUUGAUGUAUGCCUACUUGAUGGAUAAAAACCAUCAAGGUAGACAUAUUUUUAAGUGCUUUGUACAUCAAAAAAUGUCAAAUUUGUAGUAGUGAUCACAUAAACUCCAAUUACAAUAAUUAUUGUCUUCUAGUGAACCUUCCUCGUGUGUUGAUGUGGAUCUCACCUACAAAUUGUACAUGCUAGACAAGGUUUUCUCGAGUAUCCUUUAUGUGAGUUCCUCUGUAAUUCACUAGCUUCUUCUUUUGUUCCUAAUUGUAAGACCCAACUUUUUUACUAAGCUGAAGUCAUUACUAUUUAAAUAAAUAUAGACUUUUUAGUUUUAAAUAAAAGAAAAUACUAAAUUUAAAGAACACGUUCCAAAUAUUAUUUAAAAAAUAAAUAAAUGAAAUAUGAGAUAAAAGACUAGUUAAAGCUCUAUUUAAUGUAAAAAGAAAUAUCUAAAAGUAAACAUGAGUUCUGAAAUAAUUUUCUGAAAAUUAAAUACUGAAGACAUAAAUGCAGUAGAAAACGUAAAUUGUCCCCUAUGGCGAAUCACAGUCACUUCUUGUCAUUCGCCUGUGCCUUUACCUCUUCUAACUUUGUUUGAAAAAUUAAACAUAGAAAAGAGUAAGUAUAAAUUUAUACUCAGUAAGAGACCCACAAUUAGUUCCGCUACGUGUCUGUUAACUUUUCCUGUAAGAAAGUAUCACAUACUAUUGUGAUCCCAAACACACGCUAUCGGGUGGUCCCUAGGGACAUAUUUGAGCUCUUAGUGAACACGAAGGAAUCACCCUAAUGGAGAGUCAGGCGAUUAAUUAUUAUGCUUUAGAACACAUGCUAUCCAGUGAUCCCGUAAGGACACAUUUGGGCUCUCAGUGAACCCAAAGGAAUCACCCUAAAGGAGAGUUGGAUUGUAAGUGAUCCCGUCGAAUAUAUUUGGAGUAUAGGUUAGAGAUAAAAUCUGUGGAAAUUAGAAAGAAGUUACUAUUGAGUAUGAACCAUCCAUAUCCAUAGACUAUCAAAGACUUUACUGAUUUGAAGUUUAUUUUCUUUUUGAAACUCAUGUCAUAAAGAUAAGGGUGCUCGAUAGCCUAAAUUUUUCAUAUAAAUGUAUUGUUUGUUUGUUUCGUUAAUAAAUCAUUAUCUUCUUCUAUUAAAUUACAUCAUUAUUGGACAACAUGGAGGGAUCCCAAUUCUAGAUAAUUUGUAAUAAUAGGAUUUAUUUUUUUAAAAAAAAAAACAAAAGAGCACAUAGGAACUAAUUGACAAUUAAUACAUUUUAACUGUCAAUUAGUUCCUUCGGGUUCACUGAGAGCUCAUAUGUGUCCUUACGGGACCAACCGAUAGCGUGUGUUUGGGAUUACAAUAAUAUGUGGUACUUUCUUACAGGAAAAGUUAACAGACACGUAGCGGAACUAAUUGUGGGUCUCUUACUGAGUAUAAAUUUAUACUUACUCUUUUCUAUGUUUAAUUUUUCAAACAAAGUUAGAAGAGGUAAAGGCACAGGCGAAUGACAAGAAGUGACUGUGAUUCGCCAUAGGGGACAAUUUACGUUUUCUACUGCAUUUAUGUCUUCAGUAUUUAAUUUUCAGAAAAUUAUUUCAGAACUCAUGUUUACUUUUAGAUAUUUCUUUUUACAUUAAAUAGAGCUUUAACUAGUCUUUUAUCUCAUAUUUCAUUUAUUUAUUUUUUAAAUAAUAUUUGGAACGUGUUCUUUAAAUUUAGUAUUUUCUUUUAUUUAAAACUAAAAAGUCUAUAUUUAUUUAAAUAGUAAUGACUUCAGCUUAGUAAAAAAGUUGGGUCUUACAAUUAGGAACAAAAGAAGAAGCUAGUGAAUUACAGAGGAACUCACAUAAAGGAUACUCGAGAAAACCUUGUCUAGCAUGUACAAUUUGUAGGUGAGAUCCACAUCAACACACGAGGAAGGUUCACUAGAAGACAAUAAUUAUUGUAAUUGGAGUUUAUGUGAUCACUACUACAAAUUUGACAUUUUUUGAUGUACAAAGCACUUAAAAAUAUGUCUACCUUGAUGGUUUUUAUCCAUCAAGUAGGCAGACAUCAAGAAAGUCGAACCUCAAGAAAACUAAUUUUCUUCAUGGUCAAAACAUGUCAUCAAAAACUUGUUUCACAUAUUUACUUAUAUUAAAAAAAAAUUGCUGUAAAAAACAAUUAAAAUUCAUGAUUAAACAUUACCAACAUAUAUUAGAAAGACCUUUGUAUUGAUAAUAAAAAAAUUCAAAUUUCAUCUCAGCAACCUUAUCUCCAGGACACGAGUUUCAAAAAGAAUAUAAACUUCAAAUCGAUAAAGUCUUUGAUAAUCUACGAAUAUGGAUGAUUCAUACUCAAUAGUAACUUCUUUCUAAUUUCCACACGUUUUAUCUCUAAUCUAUACUCCAAAUAUAUUCUCAAUAAAUUAAAGGAGAAUACAUUUUCAUGAAUGUUUAAUGCUUUCAUUGUUUGAUUUUGAAAAUUAAAUAAUAUAAAGAGAGAGGGAGUGAGACCCAUGGAAAGAACGAGUUAUUGACUUUUCGAAAAUAAUAUUUAUUGGAGCCAUAUAGAAAUUAAACGAUGCUAUAUUGUACAUCUAAAUGCAUAAAUUUUACAUAAUUACAUUACUUAAGAAUUAAUAGUUGUAUAAAAAGGGUAUUUUAACAAAUAAUAUCAUAUCCAUAUAUGUGUAAUUUAACUAAUUAUAGGGAAGGGAAGAGCCAUUUGAGUUGAAUAAUCAAUUAUGAGGAAGAAAAUACAAAAGUGAACUAAUUUAUAUUACAAAAAAAAACAAUUUAAAGUAAUUAAAUGAAAAAGAAUAUAUAAAAAAGAAAAUGUUGAAAAAUGGAAUAAACAAAAAAGAGAAAGGAUAAGGGAUACGAAAAAGUGGUUGCAUUUGGAACGGUCUAAAAUGCCCUAAUAGAUGGAUAUAAAAGAACAAAGAUAUCCUCCAUACUUGUAACCAAUCAAGGACCUUUAUAUAACAUUUUCUCAUUCUCAUCCUUAUUUCUAUACCUCUCAAAUACCAUUUUAAUGGCAGGCCAAAGCACACAUUUUUUGGCAUUUCCAAGAGCUGCCACAAUAACAUGGGGUAAUGACACUCGAUACUGGAGUUGGGCCAACGUGAAUUUAUGCGGGUACAAUCUUUAACUCAAAUUUUAUUUGUUCAUUUAUUCAUAUCUCAUGCAUUUUCAUCUAUUUCUUUUGUUUUCGUUCAUAAAAAUAUAAGCUAGUUAUUAGAUUCUACUUUUAUGAAUAUAUAUUAUGUUCCAAUCAUAUGUUAUUUAUUACUGUUCUCUCUCACCAUGGUAUUUAAAACCUUGCAGCUACCCAACUGAAGAAGCCCGACUUAUUCAAGUAUCUUGGCUAGAUUGUCGUUGGAUGAUGGAUGCAUCUGAUUUCAGACAAGGUAUUCGGUACAAUGCAAACAUUGAAGUAAUGUUAACAAGCAACGCCUCUGGAUGGAAUUUUCCAGUAAACCUUGAAAUCGAGUUGCCAGAUGGGAGUAGGCAAGAGUCUCAAAUAGGAUUGGCAGGCAGACAACCAAAUGUGUGGUUCAAUAUGCCACUAGGUGGAUUCACACUACCUGAUUGUGUGACUAGUGGAACAAUCCGAUUUCGCUUCUUCAACCAUGCAGCGGUUUGGAAAAGAGGCUUGCACAUAAGAGCCCUUGUCAUUCAAGCAUAAAAAUGAGUUUGAAAUGACAUGUUCAAGAAUGAAUAUAAAGUAAUAGAAUAAAACCCUAAAUAAUAAGACUUUUUGCUCUAUUGCAAAAACUUUUAAGUUUAAAUGUGUUAUAUUUUAGCUAUGAAGGUAAAUAUUGAAUAUAUAAUGUAACAAAACAUAAAAAAAUAAAUAAUAUGACCUUUUGCAUAGUAGCAAUAAGGCCAGUUUAAACACUUUAGUAUGUUUUUCAAUAAAAGUAUGUAUUGUGAGUUUAUUCUAAUUAAAUUUAAGCAUUCAUUUUGUGAUUA